rnacentral:rRNA from 1 species
GACGAACGCUGGCGGCGUGCUUAACACAUGCAAGUCGAACGGAAAGGCCCUGCUUUUGUGGGGUGCUCGAGUGGCGAACGGGUGAGUAACACGUGAGUAACCUGCCCUUGACUUUGGGAUAACUUCAGGAAACUGGGGCUAAUACCGGAUAGGAGCUCCUGCUGCAUGGUGGGGGUUGGAAAGUUUCGGCGGUUGGGGAUGGACUCGCGGCUUAUCAGCUUGUUGGUGGGGUAGUGGCUUACCAAGGCUUUGACGGGUAGCCGGCCUGAGAGGGUGACCGGCCACAUUGGGACUGAGAUACGGCCCAGACUCCUACGGGAGGCAGCAGUGGGGAAUAUUGCACAAUGGGCGGAAGCCUGAUGCAGCAACGCCGCGUGCGGGAUGACGGCCUUCGGGUUGUAAACCGCUUUCGCCUGUGACGAAGCGUGAGUGAAGGUAAUGGGUAAAGAAGCACCGGCUAACUAAGUG